rnacentral:rRNA from 1 species
UACAGAGGUCUCAAGCGUUGUUCAGAUUCAUUGGGCGUAAAGGGCGCGUAGGCGGCGGGGUAAGUCGGGUGUGAAAUCUCAGAGCUCAACUCUGAAACUGCACUCGAUACUGCUUUGCUAGAGGACUGGAGAGGAGAUUGGAAUUCACGGUGUAGCAGUGAAAUGCGUAGAUAUCGUGAGGAAGACCAGUGGCGAAGGCGGAUCUCUGGACAGUUCCUGACGCUGAGGCACGAAGGCCAGGGGAGCAAACGGG